UAGGGAAUCUUCCGCAAUGGGCGAAAGCCUGACGGAGCAACGCCGCGUGAGUGAUGAAGGUCUUCGGAUCGUAAAACUCUGUUAUUAGGGAAGAACAAAUGUGUAAGUAACUAUGCACGUCUUGACGGUUCCUAAUCAGAAAGCCACGGCUAACUACGUGCCAGCAGCCGCGGUAAUACGUAGGUGGCAAGCGUUAUCCGGAAUUAUUGUGCGUAAAGCGCGCGUAGGCGGUUUUUUAAGUAUGAUGUGAAAGCCCACGGCUCAACCGUGGAGGGUCAUUGGAAACUGGAAAGCUUGAGUGCAGAAGAGGAAAGUGGAAUUCCAUGUGUAGCGGUGAAAUGCGCAGAGAUAUGGAGGAACACCAGUGGCGAAGGCGACUUUCUGGUCUGUAACUGACGCUGAUGUGCGAAAGCGGGGGGAUCAAACAGG
rnacentral:rRNA from 1 species